rnacentral:rRNA from 1 species
CCUACGGGGCGCAGCAGGCGCGAAAACUUUACAAUGCGGGAAACCGUGAUAAGGGGACACCGAGUGUCAGCAUCAUAUGCUGGCUGUCCAGGUGUGUAAAAUACACCUGUUAGCAAGGGCCGGGCAAGACCGGUGCCAGCCGCCGCGGUAACACCGGCGGCCCGAGUGGUGAUCGUGAUUAUUGGGUCUAAAGGGUCCGUAGCCGGUUUGGUCAGUCCUCCGGGAAAUCUGAUAGCUCAACUAUUAGGCUAUCGGGGGAUACUGCCAGGCUUGGAACCGGGAGAGGUAAGAGGUACUACAGGGGUAGGAGUGAAAUCUUGUAAUCCCUGUGGGACCACCUGUGGCGAAGGCGUCUUACCAGAACGGGUUCGACGGUGAGGGACGAAAGCUGGGGGCACGAACCGGAUUAGAUACCCGGGUAGUCCCAGCCGUAAACGAUGCUCGCUAGGUGUCAGGCAUGGCGCGACCGUGUCUGGKGCCSMRGGAAGCCG